rnacentral:rRNA from 1 species
GACGAACGCUGGCGGCGUGCUUAACACAUGCAAGUCGAACGGAAAGGCCCUGCUUUUGUGGGGUGCUCGAGUGGCGAACGGGUGAGUAACACGUGAGUAACCUGCCCUUGACUUUGGGAUAACUUCAGGAAACUGGGGCUAAUACCGGAUAGGAGCUCCUGCUGCAUGGUGGGGGUUGGAACGUUUCGGCGGUUGGGGAUGGACUCGCGGCUUAUCAGCUUGUUGGUGGGGUAGUGGCUUACCAAGGCUUUGACGGGUAGCCGGCCUGAGAGGGUGACCGGCCACAUUGGGACUGAGAUACGGCCCAGACUCCUACGGGAGGCAGCAGUGGGGAAUAUUGCACAAUGGGCGGAAGCCUGAUGCAGCAACGCCGCGUGCGGGAUGACGGCCUUCGGGUUGUAAACCGAUUUCGCCUGUGACGAAGCGUGAGUGACGGUAAUGGGUAAAGAAGCACCGGCUAACUACGUG